AAGAUCUAUUUAGCGUAUAGUACGAUAGCAAUUAAUAAACCAUGCAGGUAGUCCAAAUAAGGACUUCAUCUUUACCUGGAAAUCUGAUUUAAAAAAGGCCGCUUAAUAAUAAGCGGCCUGUAUUAGUGUU
rfam:Salmonella enterica subsp. enterica serovar Javiana str. GA_MM04042433 gcontig_1113115915053, whole genome shotgun sequence.